UCCGAGUUGACCCCGGCAGUCUCCUAUGAGUCCCCGACAUUACUCGCUGGCAACAUAGGACGAGGGUUGCGCUCGUUGCGGGACUUAACCCAACAUCUCACGACACGAGCUGACGACAGCCAUGCACCACCUGUGCAAGGCCCUUACGGACCUCCCAUCUCUGGGAGAUUUCCCUGCAUGUCAAGCCCAGGUAAGGUUCUUCGCGUUGCAUCGAAUUAAGCCACAUGCUCCGCCGCUUGUGCGGGCCCCCGUCAAUUUCUUUGAGUUUUAGCCUUGCGGCCGUACUCCCCAGGCGGGGCGCUUAAUGCGUUAGCUGCGGCACAGACCUCGUGGAAUGAGGCCCACACCUAGCGCCCAACGUUUACGGCGUGGACUAC
rnacentral:misc_RNA from 1 species